rnacentral:rRNA from 1 species
AGAACGAACGCUGGCGGCAUGCCUAAUACAUGCAAGUCGAACGAGAUCUUCGGAUCUAGUGGCGCACGGGUGCGUAACGCGUGGGAAUCUACCCUUGGGUUCGGAAUAACAGUUGGAAACGACUGCUAAUACCGGAUGAUGACGAAAGUCCAAAGAUUUAUCGCCAAGGGAUGAGCCCGCGUAGGAUUAGCUAGUUGGUGAGGUAAAGGCUCACCAAGGCGACGAUCCUUAGCUGGUCUGAGAGGAUGACCAGCCACAUUGGGACUGAGACACGGCCCAAACUCCUACGGGAGGCAGCAGUGGGGAAUCUUGCGCAAUGGGCGAAAGCCUGACGCAGCCAUGCCGCGUGUAUGAUGAAGGUCUUAGGAUUGUAAAAUACUUUCACCGGUGAAGAUAAUGACUGUAGCCGGAGAAGAACGCCCCGGACUAACUUCGUGCCAGCAGCCGC